CGACCUCAGAUCAGACGUGGCGACCCACUGAAUUUACGCAUAGUAGUCAGUGGAGGAAAAGAAACUAACCAGGAUUCCCUCAGUAGUGGCGAGUGAACAGGGAAGAGCCCAGCGCCAAAUCCCCACCGCGAGCGCGGAGCGGGACAUGUGUAUGGAAGACCCACUCCCCGGAGUCGCUCAUGGGGGUGGGGGGCAAGUCCUUCUGAUCGAGGCCCAGCCUGUGGACGGUGUGAGGCCGAUAGCGGCCCCUGGUGCCUGGGCCCGGGUCUUCCCGGAGUCGGGUUGCUUGGGAAUGCAGCCCAAAGCAGGUGGUAAACUCCAUCUAAGGCAAGAGACCCAUAGUCAACAAGUACCUUAAGGGAAAGUUGAAAAGAACUUUGAAGAGAGAGUUCAAGAGGGCGUGAAACUGUUAAGAGGUAAACGGGUGGGGUCCACACAGUCCACCUGGAGGAUUCAACCCGGCGGCGUGCAUUCGGCCGUGCCAGCGGUCCCGGCGGAUCUUUCCCGCUCCCCGUUCCUCCCGACCCCUUCGCGCGCGUUGUUCCUUCCCCUCUGGGGGAGUGUCGUUGGCGGGCGUAAGGUGUGGCGGGGGCGCAAGGGCGGGGCCGGGGGCGGGGUCGGCAGGGGACCACCCCUGGCCGGGCGACUGGCCGCUACGGGGCGGACUUCCACCAUGGCAGUGCGCCUGGAUCGGCUCCUGGAUGGUUGGGAAGGUGGCUGGGGGGGCGAGUAUUACAGCCCCCUGGCAGCAGCGCUCACCGAAUUUCGGAGCCAAGAAAUCCAGAUAUCCGUCGCCGCGCUCUCCCCCUCCUCCUCCUCCAUGUGGGGAGGAGGGGGCCGGACUGCCCCUCCCACGGUGCGACCGCUCUCUCACCCCUCUUGGCUUUCCUCCUCUCGGGGGCGGGGGUCCGGGGGGCUGGGCGGACUGUCCCCAGUGCGCCCAGGGCGUUGUCGCGUCAUCAGGCUCAAAGGGGACCCUGUGUCACGUGCUUUUUUAUCGGAGCCUGAGCGCUCGGUGUCGGCGGAGCUGUCGGCCACCCACCCGACCCAUCUUGAAACACGGACCAAGGAGUGUAAAGCAUGUGCUGUGUCGGAGGCUCGUCUGAAAGCCGCCGUGGCUCAAUGAAGAUGAAGGGCUGAAAGGUCUGGGACUCCCCAGAAAGGGGUCCACUUAAGUCACAGGAUAGCACGCACCCAAAGGACACACGAGAGACCGUCUUGCUGUAAAGCACAUGAGGUGGUUUAUUAAAUCAGAGCUCUGGGCCAGCCCAUAUCCCCAUAUCUCACAUAGGGGAUAGAGGGACUGACCUCCUGGCUCAGGGGCAUAGCGCUUAUAUAUGGGCGGGGUAGGGAAAAAUCGAACUUUUGCGCGGGUGCACAGGAUUGGUUGUUUUACCUCUUUUGAACACUAGUAGGCUGUACCAUGGGGCAGGGUGUAGUUCUUCCCUUGGCCAGUCAGUUUCUGGGAUGUUCUUAACAGGCCUUUGUACUGUAACUCCCCCUCCUCUGUAACUAAUUAGAUGGACCCAAACCUGCUGGCAGGUGCUUUUCUGCCCAAGGUCUAACGCGAAAAAUUUACACAUAUUUCAUAAGAUGGCCUUUAUAAUUUUUCACUUUACAGGGCCCCACCCGGGUCCCCGAGGUGGGAUCCCAAGGCCUCUCCAGUCCGCCGAAGGCGCACCACCGGCCUGUCUUGCCUGCCGCGCAGGGGGGGUGGAGCACAAGCGUAUGCAUUAGGAUCCGAAAGACGGUGAACUAUGCCUGGGCAGGGAGAAGCCAGAGGAAACUCUGGUGGAGGUCCGUAGCGGUCCUGACGUGCAAAUCGGUCAUCCGACCUGGGUAAAGGGGAGAAAGACUAAUCGAACCAUGUAGUAGCUGGUUCCCUCCGAAGUUUCCCUCAGGAUAGCUGGCGCUCUCGCAGAAAUUGAAAUGCCUGCAGUUUUAUCUGGUAAAGCGAAUGAUUAGAUGUCUUGGGGCCGAAACGAUCUCAACCUAUUCUCAAACUUUAAAUGGGUAAGAAGCCCGGCUCCCAUGGAGCCAGGCGUGGAAUGCGAGUGCCUAGUGGGCCACUUUUGGUAAGCAGAACUGGCGCUGCGGGAUGAACCGAACACCGGGUUAAGGCGCCUGAUGCCGACGCUCACCAGACCCCAGAAAAGGUGUUGGUUGAUAUAGACAGCCGGACGGUGGCCAUGGAAGUCUGAAUCCGCUAAGGAGUGUGUAAUAACUCACCUGCCGAAUCAACUAGCCCUGAAAAUGGAUGGCGCUGGAGUGUUGGGCCCAUACCCAACAGUUCCAACUGUCGCCGGCAGUUGGAACAUGACUGGAGUGGCCUCAGGCGCACAUCUCCAGGCGGGUGUGGCGGGCGUCGCAUGCCACCACCCCUCCGGUCUUGCCCCCGAGGUGUUGGGCCCCUGGACUCUACGCUGCGAGUGGGAGGACCGCUGCGGUGAGCCUUGAAGCCUAGGGCGCCAGCCCGGGUGGAGCCACCGCAGUUGCAGAU